GGCAGAGCAGGACAGCACAAAAUGUACUGUACCCUCCAUCCUGUGUAACUAUGUAUCAGACUCCUUUUUCUUAGAAAACCGCGAGAAUGUAACAAUUGCAUGAACCUGCCAAUAGGAAUGUAGAGAAGUAGAUUCAGUCCAAAUUAGGCAAUCUCUGUAACCCACGUCACUUCCCUAAGCCCACCCAAAUGUCCAACCCUUUAUAAUUCAUCACUCCCCCGGAGUUCGCUCUCUGGCCCCACUGCUGCGUCAGGAGGAGGCUGGGAGCCAAACCCGGGUUUGAAUAAAGACUCUUUGCUUUUGCAUCGGAGAAAAGGCUCCCUAGUGGUUGAUUAUUGGGGACCCUGAACUCUGGGCAUAACAUUUGGGGGCUCGCCCGGGGCUCCCCAAUACCCACGAGGGACCCGAUCCGAAGAGUCUGACUGCUGACUGACCGCGGAGGCCAUCCAGGCUUUCAGCUCACAAGAAAUCUUCUCCUGCGAGAGGAGAGAGGGACCCCCCAGAAGGGGCUGGAGGCUCUCCCUCUCAACAGGGUCAGGAAGAAACUGAAAGCUGGAAUUCAUAACCAUUCCCUUACUCAAGUCCUUACAGGCUCUGCAGUAUACCCAGAGAGCCACCCAUAAGCUUGUUCGUGAUGCUCUGCCAGUGCCCACUGCGGACCCUGUACAUCCCUUCCAGCCCAAGAACUCGGUAUGGGUAAAGAAGGUCACUGCCCAAGGACUCACCCCAACCUGGGAGGGAUGCUACACUGUUAUCCUGAGCACGCCCACGGCUGUUGAAGUAGAUGGCGUCCAGACCUGGCUACACCACUCCCAGCUCCUGCACCAGGAAACGGCCUGGAUCCUGGCAACCAGCGGCCUCACCCGUGAGAUCCCUAGCCUGGGCUCCACGCAGGCCAGGAGGAAUCUCGACACCUGCAGGAGAGGAACUGGAAUUCGCUGUGGACAGUACUGUUGGGGACUGUAGUACUAAAGGCCUUGGCCAGAAGUAAGAGACAAAGUAGAAAUGCAAACCGUCUCAUGAUUGAGCCGGGUGUCCCAAGACAAGGGGGGAAUGAAAGGGCAGAGCAGGACAGCACAAAAUGUACUGUACCCUCCAUCCUGUGUAACUAUGUAUCAGACUCCUUUUUCUUAGAAAACCGCGAGAAUGUAACAAUUGCAUGAACCUGCCAAUAGGAAUGUAGAGAAGUAGAUUCAGUCCAAAUUAGGCAAUCUCUGUAACCCACGUCACUUCCCUAAGCCCACCCAAAUGUCCAACCCUUUAUAAUUCAUCACUCCCCCGGAGUUCGCUCUCUGGCCCCACUGCUGCGUCAGGAGGAGGCUGGGAGCCAAACCCGGGUUUGAAUAAAGACUCUUUGCUUUUGCAUCGGAGAAAAGGCUCCCUAGUGGUUGAUUAUUGGGG